rnacentral:rRNA from 1 species
AUUGGACGCUGGCGGCAUGCCUUACACAUGCAAGUCGAACGGUAACAGGUCUUCGGAUGCUGACGAGUGGCGAACGGGUGAGUAAUACAUCGGAACGUGCCCAGACGUGGGGGAUAACGAGGCGAAAGCUUUGCUAAUACCGCAUACGAUCUAAGGAUGAAAGCAGGGGACCGCAAGGCCUUGUGCGUUUGGAGCGGCCGAUGGCAGAUUAGGUAGUUGGUGGGAUAAAAGCUUACCAAGCCGACGAUCUGUAGCUGGUCUGAGAGGACGACCAGCCACACUGGGACUGAGACGCGGCCCAGACUCCUACGGGAGGCAGCAGUGGGGAAUUUUGGACAAUGGGCGAAAGCCUGAUCCAGCAAUGCCGCGUGCAGGAUGAAGGCCUUCGGGUUGUAAACUGCUUUUGUACGGAACGAAAAGGCUCUGGCUAAUACCUGGGGCACAUGACGGUACCGUAAGAAUAAGCACCGGCUAACUACGUG